UACGUAGGGGGCUAGCGUUGUCCGGAAUCAUUGGGCGUAAAGAGCGUGUAGGCGGUCCGGUAAGUCCGCUGUGAAAGUCGGGGGCUCAACCCUCGAAUGCCGGUGGAUACUGUCGGGCUAGAGUGCGGAAGAGGCGAGUGGAAUUCCUGGUGUAGCGGUGAAAUGCGCAGAUAUCAGGAGGAACACCGGUGGCGAAGGCGGGUCUCUGGGCCGAUAUCGACGCUGGAGGAGCGGAAAGCGUGGGGAGCGAACAGG
rnacentral:rRNA from 1 species